UCCUACUUUCACUAAUACCUCAGUAGUUGUCCUUGCCCAAUGCUUUCGAGUAUAAUGGCUCAAAGUUUCCAUUUCCUUGUCACUAGAAUCUUCGAAAUGUACUCGUUGAUUAUACCCAUUCUUUUCAUUUGUUGGUUGCUUGUAACCAAUAUCAACCCCUUCUUCAUCUUUAUAUAUUCUUGCAUCAAUAGCAUGACUCAUUCCAGUUUCGCCCAUUAAUUGCUUCUUUCGCUUAAUGCUGUCAAUGAUAACAUCAUGAAACUCCUUCUUUCCAAUUUCCAAGACUUCUUUCAAUGUGAAUUCCACCUUAGCGUUUAAUAUACGUUCUUCCAACA
rnacentral:lncRNA from 1 species